rnacentral:snoRNA from 1 species
UGGUUCAAAACCGUAACAGUGAUAACCAUAGUGGCUUCCAGGGCUCCACUAUGGGCCAGAGCACCCUAGGAAUCCCACCCAGGUGGGCCCCUGCAUGGGUGUUUUAGACACUC